UGCUAAAAUGUCAUAUCCGUAUAUACUACAGAGUAGCUGGGCUCUUGGGGUUCCACAUCAGGUGUUUUAGAUCUUCAUUUUUUAUAAGUCAGCAGAGAGUGCUUAUCAGAUAGAACAACUUUUGCUAAAACGUCAUACCCGUAUAUGCUACAGAGUAGCUGGGCUCUUGGGGUUCCACACCAGGUGUUUUAGAUCUUCAUUUUUUAUAAGUCAACAGAGAGUGCUUAUCAGAUUGAACAACUUUUGCUAAAACGUCAUACCCGUAUAUGCUACAGAGUAGCUGGGCUCUUGGGGUUCCACACCAGGUGUUCCAGAUCUUCAAAUUUAUUCUCUCAACCGAAAAUGCUCAUCACGUGGAACAAUUUUUGCCAUUGCAUCAUUUUUGUAUCUCUUAUAGUUUUGCUGAUCUGUUGCAGUUCUGCACCAGAUCUUCAAGUUUCGAAGAUAAAUUAUAGCCUAUAUGUUGCCCCGACUUUAUAC
rnacentral:lncRNA from 1 species